CAACGGUGAAGUGACCAACAGGGAUUGCCCUAGUAACGGCGAGUGAAGCGGCAUCAGCUCAAAUUUGAAAUCUGGCUCUUUCAGGGUCCGAGUUGUAAUUUGCAGAGGGCGCUUUGGCGUUGGCAGCGGUCCAAGUUCCUUGGAACAGGACGUCACAGAGGGUGAGAAUCCCGUACGUGGUCGCUGGCCUUCGCCGUGUAAAGCCCCUUCGACGAGUCGAGUUGUUUGGGAAUGCAGCUCUAAAUGGGAGGUAAAUUUCUUCUAAAGCUAAAUACUGGCCAGAGACCGAUAGCGCACAAGUAGAGUGAUCGAAAGAUGAAAAGCACUUUGGAAAGAGAGUCAAAUAGCACGUGAAAUUGUUGAAAGGGAAGCGCUUGCAGCCAGACUUGCCUGUAGUUGCUCAUCCGGGCUUUUGCCCGGUGCACUCUUCUGCGGGCAGGCCAGCAUCAGUUUGGACGGUUGGAUAAAGGCCUCUGUCAUGUACCUCCUUUCGGGGAGGCCUUAUAGGGGAGGCGUCAUGCAACCAGUCUGGACUGAGGUCCGCGCAUCUGCUAGGAUGCUGGCGUAAUGGCUGUAAGCGGCCCGUCUUGAAACACGGACCAAGGAGUCUAACAUCUAUGCGAGUGUUUGGGUGUCAAGCCCGAGCGCGUAAUGAAAGUGAACGGAGGUGGGAUCCCUUUAGGGUGCACCAUCGACCGAUCCUGAUGUCUUCGGAUGGAUUUGAGUAAGAGCAUGGCUGUUGGGACCCGAAAGAUGGUGAACUAUGCUUGAAUAGGGUGAAGCCAGAGGAAACUCUGGUGGAGGCUCGCAGCGGUUCUGACGUGCAAAUCGAUCGUCAAAUUUGGGCAUAGGGGCGAAAGACUAAUCGAACUAUCUAGUAGCUGGUUCCUGCCGAAUUCCCCCUCUCCAGAGCAAAAC
rnacentral:rRNA from 1 species